GCGAACGCUGGCGGCAGGCUUAACACAUGCAAGUCGAACGGGCGCAGCAAUGCGUCAGUGGCAGACGGGUGAGGAACACGUGGGAAUAUGCCCUUUGGUUCGGAAUAACUCAGGGAAACUUGAGCUAAUACCGGAUAAGCGCGAGAGCGGAAAGAUUUAUCGCCGAAGGAGUAGCCCGCGUCUGAUUAGCUAGUUGGUGAGGUAAUGGCUCACCAAGGCGACGAUCAGUAGCUGGUCUGAGAGGAUGAUCAGCCACACUGGGACUGAGACACGGCCCAGACUCCUACGGGAGGCAGCAGUGGGGAAUAUUGGACAAUUGGCGCAAGCCUGAUCCAGCCAUGCCGCGUGAGUGAUGAAGGCCUUAGGGUUGUAAAGCUCUUUUGUCCGGGAAGAUAAUGACUGUACCGGAAGAAUAAGCCCCGGCUAACUUCGU
rnacentral:rRNA from 1 species